rnacentral:lncRNA from 1 species
GUGCCUUGGAUCGGACUCCAAGCCUUGUUGUUGGUCCCAGAUGGAGUCACCGAUCUUUUUCCUUUGGGGUCGCAGCUACAAACUAGGAUUGGGGAGCAAAGCAGAGGUGCAGAGGUUGAAAUGAGACUUCAUUGGACUCUAAUAAGUGAUUAUAUAUAUAUUAUAUGUUGCAGUAUUUCGGGACCAUCUCUAAAAUACAGAUGUAAAAGAAGCUCGGCCGGUCAUGGCGGCCAUGGCCCCUACCAUUAAUUUAUUCCUGUGGCCCAAAAGCCAUGAAAUCUGCAGCAACUCUUGCUUUACAACGAAUCCCAAGCGGGGAAAAAGUGAGUACAAUUUUCACACGCGGAAUAUAAAUUAUUAAUCUUUCUCAUCUAAAGACUAAACAAGAAAGAUAGAAAAGAAUUCAACUUACAGAUAGUACCCUUGAAGCAAUUGCAAUACAUACAAAAAGACAGCCUUCAAUUCCAUCUUUAUCACAGUCCGGGUCGUACUGGUCUUUCCACCUUUGUCCUGAGAUUCCUGAUUUCCACCUUCGCAGAUAUCUAGCUCUAUAUAGUCCUUGAAGAUCAGAAGAAAUUUAAUUAAGAUUUUGGGGUCAAACUUCAAACUGCAGUGAUGGUGAUAGUGGGCGCCUGGGAUGGGGUCAAGGCCAAGAAAAGGAGAAGAAUCAUUAUCAUAACCGGAACGAAAAGAAGCAUCGACGGUGGAGGAGGCAGAGAUGGCAGCAGCAGCGGCAGCACCAGCAGUGAUACAGCUAAAGCCAUCAUAACUAUGAUCCAUGAUCUCAUACUAGUAACUAUAUAUAUAUAUAUAUAUAUAUAUAUAUAUAUUAAGCUAGCUAUCCGCCAGUCAAUGACACCAAAUUUCCAAUCAAACCCCGGCCAGCUGCUGAUUCAGAUGUCAGACUCCUGAGGAGGCGCUCUCAUCUUCCUCCAUAGCUGAUUCUUCGGAUUAGGAGAAGUCUGGUGAGUAAUUUAUACAAGGAAAUACAGCCAGUAAUUGAUUUUAUGGUGUUUUAAGAAUUGGAAAUUAAGUGUAUUUAUUAUUAUUCACUGCUGAUGACGUGGUAAGCGUUACUGCCCAUAGUCGUUACCACUCGGCAUGUCCCACUCAGUUUUUGUGUCCCAGUUCAACUAACUGAGAAAUUUGACACUGUACCCUUUACAUGUUGGCAUUUUCUUAGGUGUAAAAUAACAAGAAAAGUUCAGCAUUUACUGUGGAAGAAUUUAAAAACGAACUCCCUGUUUACGCAAUCAAUCCUUUUUUUUUUUAGUGAGGUCAAUAAAUUAAUAUAAUAAUAAUAGUGUCUGGUUUUUGGUCUUCACUAGUGUCUUCACUAAUUCUUUUGAGAAAAAAAGCCAAAUAUGUAAUCACUACUUUUGAUAAAUUAUAUAGUGUCUUCUAAAUUUUUUAUAUUAUACAUUAAUCCUCAAAUUCCUUUUUUAGUAGAUCAAUUUAAAAUAUUCCUUAAAUUAAUAGAUAUAGCCCAAGAGAAUUUUAAAUUUCGAAGAGAUCAAUUUUCAAUUUACGCUACCCAAUAGAUACUAUAUAAAGGAAUUUUAAAGUAUAGUUGGGUCACUCGACCACAUUAAGCACGCUAUAGCUGUGCCCUAUAUGUUUACCUGGAUAAAUUUCAGCACUUAUCAACUUUAUUUCAAGCCCUAACAGAUUUUAAAAUUUACAAUCCCAACAUUAAUAGAUCUUAAAAUUAUUUUUUAAAAUUAAUUAAUCGAAUCAUUCUUUAUAGGGUGUGUGUGUCACUCAAGCAAUUUGCUUAUAAUUGAUGCAUGGUCUUUGUAUUCAAAAAGGUAGGGUUCAAGUCCUCAAUUUUCCCAAAUCGAAUUAUAUUUACCAAGUAUUAUUAGAUAGCAGUUAAUUUAAGUUUUACUUAUAGUUACAAUCUUUUACCAUGAGUUAGCAUUUAUUGUCUUCAUUAGCUCUUUACUUCUUUAGUUUUAUUAACUAUAAAUAGGAUACUAUACUUCAUUUUUCUAGAUUGAGAGAAAUACAAAUUCGAGAAUAUAUAUAUAUAUAUUUUAUGUUAGUUUUAAAAUUAAUUCUUGGUUUUGAAAUGCCAAAAUUGAAUGACUAAAUAUAUUUUGAAACUAAGUUAAAGUGUUUCUGAACUUGAAGAACAGUUCUCAAAGAAGAUUGAAGUUGAUUGUACAAAUAAAAAUCUUUUAAACUCUUAAAAUCUCAAGUUCCAGCAUAAAGAAUCAACCUUUUGAUAGUGAAGUAUCAAUUUUAAGCCAAAUAGAAAGCAAAAUUUCCUUUCUAUAACAGAUAAAAUCAACACCUUAAGAAGAAAAGGUCGAUCCCAGAGUAGACAGACAGCUACUGGAAGAUCAAGAAUCGACACUAAAAGGAGCAAGUGUCAAUCCUAAAGAGUUUGAAAGCAGAUAGAAGCAUACUCUAAUCAAGAAGAUUAAUUCCUAUUAAAGCACAAAUUGAUCCUAGGAAGAACACAACCUAAAAAGACAAGUUUGGAGGACUUGAAUCAACACCUUAAAAUAUCUAGUGUCGAUCCAUGAAAGUCUGAAGGUUGGGAUCAACCCUUCAAGCAACAAGUGUUAAUCCUAGAAGAAACUCAGGCAAGAAAAAAGCCAUGUCAGAUGAGGAUAAGAAUGGAGCCUCUAAAAAUGAAUUUUAAAUUCAAAUUUGGUGUUUAGUGGAUAAGUAGAAUCAACACCUCAGAAUAUAAAGCUUGAUUAUCAGAAAAACAAAAAGGUGCUACCUUUGAGAUGAGACAAGUAAAAUCAACACUUCAAGUUACGAAGGUCGAUUCUCAAAAGAGAGAAAGGUGCUACCCUUGAGACGAGAUAAGGAGAAACGGCACCUCAAGCUACAAAAGUUGAUUCCACCAAGAUUCAGAUUGAAGUCAGUGUCGAUUCAUAGUUAUAAAGAAUCGAUCCCUGAAGUUUAGAUGACAAAAUCCAGCAAGCCCUACUGUUCAGAAUUUUGAUCCUGUCUUACCAAAGUAGCAAAAAUCACGUGGCAUUAUAAAUAUCCUUAUAGAGGACAUCAUUUGAAAAGAGAGAAGAAAAAAAGAGAAAGUAAGAGGAAAAGAAAGCAAGAAAAGAAAGAGAAGAAAAACCUUCCAAGAAAUUAGAAAAAGAUGAACAAGUUAGAAAAUCCCUUCCUUCACUUACUACUGCAAAUACUUUGAAAAGAGAAUGCUUUUUAUAGCUUCCAUACUCUGAUAAAUCAUUAUUCUCUUGUACUUAAGUUAGCUUAUCAGCCUUGUGAGGUAAAAAGCUUUGUAAUUUUUUAAAGAAUUCAUUAUAGUUGGUUAUACCUCUAGAGAAAAGGUAGAUUAACAAUUAUACCUCCAUAGAAAAGGUAGUUAAAGGUUAUACCUCCUACAAAAGGUAGUGUGUGAAAGGUUGUGCCUGAACUUGAUUUAAAAGGCAAUGGUUAGUAGAUUUAAAACUCCUUAAUUUUCAAGGGAGAAGAUGUAGGCUUGAAGGGUUGAACCUCUAUAAAAUUUAGCUAUCUUGUCAUUGUUUCUUCUUCCUUUUUACAAAUUUAUAUUAAGCUUCAUACUUUGUUUUCCAAAACUCUCCUUAGAUUCUUUUUAAACUUCAAAAGCUAAAUUUUUUUCAUAGGAUUUUUGCAAGAAAAUUUUCAACAACCUAUGCAACCCCCUCUUAGUUGCAGCUCACUUUAAGUUAUUUAUUUAACAUUUUGUUUUCCUCAACUUCUGUUAUGGAAUUAGAGUCACGUUAAGGAUUUAGGUGUGAUUCAUCUUCGAGAUUCACCUUCUCUUGAAGGUUAAUUCUCUUGCUUUAUUUUUAGAUUAAAUGUUUUGUCGCAUCUUGUUUCUUUCUUGUGUUCUUGAAAAUGUGAUUAGCAAGUUUGAUGACAAAUUCUUUGGAAACUCGAUCUACAAUCUCAUUGAAUGAAUAUCCUUAGUCACUGUACUAUAUUCAUCACAAUGACCAUCCUAGUUCAUUUAUGAUCAGUACUAAGUUGACUACUAGUAAUUACAUAGCUUUGAGUAGCUCAUUUUUACUAUCAUUGUCCACAAAAGACAAAUUAGGGUUUCUUGAUGGAACAAUUAAGAAGCCAGCACCAACAGAUCCAAUGUAUGGAUCUUGAAUUCGUUGCAACAAUUUAAUUGUGCCUUGGAUUCUUGAAUCAAUUUCGCCUCCAAUUGCUUCAACUGUUUUCUAUAUGGAGUCUGCAUCUGAAAUUUGGGAAACUUUAAAGCAAAAUUUCUCCCAACCAGAUGAUACAUGUGUGUGUAACGUUCACUGUAAUUUAGGCAAUGUUACAUAAGGAACUAGACUAGUAGAUUCGUAUUUCAUAGAGCUGAAAGGAAUAUGGGAGGAGCUUUGGAAUAAUAGGCCAUUAACACAUAGUGAAUGUGGAAAAUGUAACAGUAAUUACUUUAAGAAAUACUCAAAUCAAUACCAAAAGGAUAUGGAGUUGCAAAUUUUAAUUAGACUUGGUGAUUCAUUCUCUACACUAAGGUCGUAGGUUUUACUCAUGGAUUUGUUUCCUUCUCUUGAUAAAGCAUAUAGUUUGGUGUUGAGGCAAGAAACGUAGAGGAACUUAGGCUUUUCAAUCACAUCUUGUAAUGGAAUCUGCUACCAUGGCUGUAACUCUUAAUGCAAAGAAAAAAAAUAGGUAUGAUCUAGUUUGUACUCAAUAUGGAAAUAUGACAUGUGAAAGAAAAGUGCUACAAGCUCAUUGGAUUUCUUAAGGACUUUAAAUUCACCAAAGGAAAAGAGAGUUCAAAGAAGAAUAAUUCCUUUGUGAAUAGUGUUACUACUAUUGCCAAUACAUUAGCUAAUAGUUCAACACUUUCUGCUUAUAAUGAAGAGGGAAUUGGAGUUGGUUCUAUGUACCAAAUGUCACUCAUAAAGUAGCGAAUGCACAAGCUAAAGUCAGAAAUCACUGAGAAUGGAUUGAACACUGAUGGUGAUAAAAACAUUUCUUUAAACACUUAGUAGGUAGCAUUUUCUUGUAAACUCAACUUUAGUAGUUAUAAUUUCUGACCACUCUUCGUAAUCAUCUUGUGAAGGUUAAACAUGCACAUAACAUCAUGAUAAAACGACAUUCUUGCAUCAUAAACAAUGGUGCAACAUACCAUUUUGCAUGUUCUUUAAAAUUUUUCAAUUCUGUUAGACUAGUUACUAAUUGCUUUGUAAAGUUGCUAAAUAAUGCUAAGGUUGUUGUAACACAUAUAGUAACUAUCAAGUUAACCUCUUUUUUGACCCUUCAAAAUGUUCUAAGUUUGCCUACAUUUAAAUUCAACUUUGUCUAUGUCACUAAAUGCACUAAAACAAAAAUAAUUUCUUUGUUAUCUUUUUACUAAUUCUCGUUGUGUCAUUCAAGACCUUGCCUCAUGGAGAAGGACUGGGUUUUCUAAGGUCUUUAGUAAGCUUAUACUUCAUGCAAAAGAAUCAAGAUGAUCAAUAUCUUUCCAAGCUAAUUUUUAAUAAUCUUGUUCCAAAGUUUUUUGAUAUCUUUGUCAGUCCUUGUAAACUAGUGAAUUUUGGAAUUUCUAUUAAUGUUUGUGAACUAGUAAAUCCUUUUUUGACUUGUGGCAUUUUAGGCUAGUCCACAUUCCUUUGAAUAGAAUAAAAGAAAUUCAUAAACAUUUUUCUAAGGUCCAUUGUAAUGAUCACUUACUUUGUGAAAUUUACCCUUUUGCUAAACAAAAGAAGCUUAUUUUUCCUAUUCAUGUUUUCUUAGAUGAAAUAAGCUUGUUAGUGUAGAAAUCUCAAGGGGAAAUAUAUCAAGAGGGGGGUGAAUUGGUAUUUAAAAAUUCUUUUGAAAAUCCAAGUAUAAAUAUCAAAACUUUUUCAACCAAAAAUAUUUUCUAAUAUCAAAAUUGAGUUUUUAACAAUAAAUUAUUAAGCAUAAAAAUAAUAUACCAAAGAAAAUGCUUUCCUAAGUUGAAUGCUAGCUAUAAAUAACAAAGUGAAAAUAUUUUCCUAAGUGUAAAACAAUUAAUCAAUAUAAAACUAUUUUCCUAUGUCAAAUGUAAGAAAUAAAUAAUAAUACAAAAAAUUAAAGAAAGACAUAAAGAUUUUAUAGUGGUUCAGCUUUUUUUAUGCCUACAUCCAUUCCCUUGGCAACCAAGGAAUUUCCAAUCCAAUAAAAGGAUUCUUACUUUUUAACGAGAUCAAACGAUAACUCUUACAUCCACUUUUUCAAGAGAUCAAGUGAUAACCUUUACAUAAUCCAAAAAAAGAUUCUUACUUUUUAACGGGAUCAAGUAAUAAUCCUUACAAUGGCUUUUUCAUAGGAUUAAGCGAUAACCUUUACAAUAAUGGUUUUGCAAAAGCUCAACAACAAACUGACAAAUAGCUUUUCAAGGUUAAGCUAGAACCUUUACAAAAUGAGCACAAGGUAUAGCAAGAAUGCCUCUACAAAGGUUGGAUGUUAAAGAUUUUAUCUUGGGUGUAGUGAGAGAAGAAAUAUUAGCUCAAAAGAAGCAAAUAUUCAACUUUGUAAGCUUAGUGGAAGGCUCAAACGAUGCUAGAGAGUGAGGAUAAGCUUUUAGAGGUCUCUUUAGGGUUUGAAGCUUUGUUUCAUGUCUUUUCUUGCUUCCUAAUGGCUCAAAUACAACUAUUUAUAGGUAAGGUGAAGUUUAGAGUCAUUAGACACAAGUUUGACUCAAAUCUAACAAUUGCUGAAGCUUGAGGGUUGACUACAACACUCUUAGGGUUGACCAUGUUUUUCAAAUUUCUCAAAUUAGGGCUACAUAGUCAAGUAUAACCUUCCUCUAUUUGAACCAUUUCCCAAGAGCGUGUUUUUUUUUUUUUUGCAAAUUUGAGCUACUAUAGUCGACUAUGUUUAUGUAAAGUCAACUAUUUCAUGCUUUUGACUUAUCAAGGUCAAAUACUUGAGCCAAGGUCGACUAUGUUUAUUUAAAACUUCAUUUUCUUGAGCUUUCUGGAACAGGGUCAACUAUGGACACUUUAGGGUCAACUAUGGGUUUAUAUUCUUCAAGUUUUUCACUUUUUCUACCUUUGGAUUGACUUGAGCUUCUUUCUGAUCAGCUCUUGACUUGGUCUUGAGGUUUCCUUAACUUUUUGGCACUUUUCUUCAACUAUUUCUUCCUUGCAUUAUUCCUACAUUCAAAUGACAUUUCAAGGCAUGUUUGCUCUUACUUUUUAGCUAAAUAUGCUUUGUUUGAAAGCUUAUAAGAUGUUUCCAAUGAUGCAUAACUUUUCAAAAAAAUAUGUAACCUUAGAGGAUUCAAAUUGCAUUUAAGACAAUUUCAAAUGCUUGACAUUAAGUUAAAGAUAACAAGUGAUGUUUUUUAAAUCGAAACAUGAUGUAACUCUAGGCCAACAAAGCUUAAAGUAAAGAACCAAGAGAGGGGUGAAUUGGUUACCAAAUAAAGAUUCCCCUUUUUUGUUUCAAAUUUAAUGCGAAAGCUUAAGAGUAAGGCAAUAAAAAUAGAAUAUGUAAUAAACAAAUAAAGUGCAAAAAAUAAAAAGGCUCAGCCAUGAUUUUAUAGAGUUUUAGCCUUCAGUGCCUACAUCUUCUCUCUUGAUAAGACAAGGAGUUUAAAUCCAUUCUGAGCUAGCUUUCAAGGAGCUGACAUAAACUUUACACAAACACUAUUUUUUUGAGAGGUGCAAGCAUAACCUCUAAACUGCUUUUAAGAAGAGCAAGCAUAACCUCACUACUUUUUGGUUGGAGGUAAAACCAGUACUACCUUUUCAAGAAGAGGAAUAACAAUUACUACCUUUUGCUUGGAGGUAUAAUUAGAAACAACAGUCGAUUACAAGAUUUUAGCAUUCGACCUCUAAUAAGGUUGGUGACUUAUUUAAGUGCACAAAGAUGAAACAUUCUGAGUUAUAUGAACUAAUGAACGGAUAUCUCUACUUAGAAAGUUUUAGAGGUGAGGAAAAGAAUGAUCUUUCUAAAUUUUUUUCUCACUCUUUAUCUAAAGAAAGCAUCUUAGAGCUUUUCUCUAAUUUUAGCACCUUUCUCUAAAAUAGGGAUUUUUCUCUUCUUUUUUACUUUUAUUCUCUCUCUUUUUGGUGUCCUUCUUUAGGGUAUUUAUAUGCCUUGAUGGAACUUACCGUUGGGGUAAAUUUGGAUCAAAUUCUAAAUAUGUAAGCUAGCUGGAUUUUUUAAUCAUAUUUGAAGAAUUGAUUGUUUCAUUUUUAGUGUUGAUUCUUUCUUCAGUUUAGAGCUAGAAAGAAUCGGUGCUUUAUCAUUGAAGUGUUGAUUCUUCAUUUCAUCCCCAAAGGUCAUACUUUUUAUUUCAUAAAUAUUGAUUCUUCUUUCCUAAGGUGUCAAUUUUUUCUUGUAAUCUGGCACCAAUUCGAAUUUUAAAUUUAAACUUUGCUUCUCUAAUCUUAUCCAUAAGUCUUUUCUUUUUCUUAACGUCCAAGUUUCUUGAAUUUUGUCCUUAGUGCUCUAGGAAUCGAUUCUCAUUUUCUAGAAGUCGAUUAUUUGAUCUUCAAAAUCUACAUGUUGACUUCUUGGUUUUAUCCAUAUGUCCUAUCUCUUUCUUGAUCUUCUAAGUUUUUAAAUUUUGUCUUUAGUGCUUCAGGAACAUAUUUUUCUCCUCCAGAAGUUGGUUCUUUGAUCUCCAAAAUUAGCAUGUUGACUUCUUGGCUUGGAGCUGACUUUUCCUUUAAUAGAGAUUUCUUCAUCGUGCUUAAACUUCUUUGUCAACCUUCUAUAACUUUGGAAUAAUUCUUCUUGUAUAGAAUAAGAAAUUUUGCUUUCUGUUUGAUUUGAAUCAAUUCUUCAUUCUUUAAAGGUCAAUUCUUAAGGCUGGCAGCUUAAGUUUGAAAUAAAACACUUUUCUUUACAAAAUCAACUUCAAAACUCUUGAGGAUUUUCUUCAAGUAUAAAAACAUUUUCUAGCAUUUACAUAGCAUAUUUGGCUUAAUCAAAUUUGUCAUUUCAAAACCGUGGUAAAGUUAACAAUCCCCCUUUUUUGAUAUGACAAAAUUAAGAGCUAAAUUUGCUCAUUGAAGAACUGCCCUUGAAUUUGUGCUUACCUUAAAGGAUUUUCCAAAAAAAUUUUAAAAACACUUUUCAAUAAAAAUCUAGCCAUCCAUGAAGUGAAAGUGAAAGCUUGCAAAUUUUCUUCAAUAUUUCUCCUCUUUUUUGUUAUAUCAAAAAGGAAUAAAAAUAGAGUGUGAGAAUUUAAAGUGCUUAAAGACAACAAAGCAUUAUUAGCACAAAUAUAUACAUAAAAACAAAGAACUUAGAAUAUAAAACUAAUAAGCAUGGAAAAAUAUAUCUGGAUAAGUAAGACAAGUAAUUUAACAAUUGAAUAUGUAUAUAUAAGCAAUAACAUUGUUCAUAAUACAAACAAAAAAUGUUUGUUGGCAAUCACAAUGUAUGCAAAUGAAGUGCAAAUGAAGUGAUUAAAGCUUGGAGGAUUUUGUAGGAUCAACAUCAAGAUCAUGGAUGGUUACAAAAGAAGUGUUUCCUAUUUUGUCAUUAAGUUUUUCCUAGUUGUGUGCAAAAGUCCUUUAUCGAUCUACUAAUUCUUUCAUUGCCUUUUGAAGAAUUUUAAUAGUAGCUUUCAUAUUCUCAAUUGAAUGAUAAGAAUGAUCAAACAUAUUUUGUUGUUAAGAACCAAUUUUAGCAAUUGCAUUGUCAAUUUUCUCAUCAAUCUUCUUGAGAAUUUCCUCUAACAUUCUUCCUUGAUUAUCAAUUCUAAAGCUGAAGCAUUGAUAAGCCCCUUGACCCAUACACAAAGUACAAGUUGUUGAGUUGAUCUCUUAUCAGUUUGGGGAGUGGUAGUUGGAAGAGAUGAAUCAGCCGUAGUCUAUGCUAAAGGAAUUUCAGGCACUGGUUGCUCAACUUGUACCAUGUCUUGUGCUCCAUCCUUCUUUAUCCAAUCAUUUGCUUUAGCAUUGUACUCAUAACCCAUUCUUGCAAGAAUAUUCUUGUCUAGAAAUUUGGUCUUAUUCUGCAUCUUAAGUUUGUCAGUAUUGGUGUCAAUUUUCAACUUAUCAAUUAGUUGUGAAAUUGCCAUUCCCUAAACUAGGUUGUUCCUUGCCUUUCGAGCUAAAUACCUGAAAUCUCUAAAGAUGAAUUGAGCAAGAUCAAUUGGUUUUUUUUUCUUUUUAUGUGAUGCAUAAACCACAUUUCUUCAAUUGUGACCACUGCAUGUUUAGUCCCAAAUGGUCUAAUGUUGUGGUUAACAAUGAGAUGCAGUAUUCUAUCGUGAAUGUUUAGCCUUGAUGCACUGUUUGGAAAUUUAACAAUUGUAAUUGACCCAAUCAAAAACUCAGCAUUCAACUCAUAUUCUAAGAUAGCAUUUUCCUCUGCAAUAUAUGUAAUUGCAUUUCUUGGACGUUUUAGUUUCAAUGCUUUUUGAAAUAAUGAAGAAGUAAUAACAAAAUCAACUCUAGCAAGCAUAGUGAAGAAUGAAUCAUUAUGCUAAACCUCAUCUUGAUCACCUUCACCUUCAUAAAUUCAUUUAAAUUUUCAAUGAAAGAACAUACCAAUCCAUCUCUCUUAGAUUUUCAAUGUAAGAACAUUUAAAUUAGUUUUCAAACCAAUCUAAAUCAAUGAUUCUUCCAUGAAAUACCUUACUAGUAGCAUAUUCCUCAUGAAAAAUCUUUCUUUCUUCUCUUGGAGGGAAGUGAAUGAUGAGAGGAUCUUCUCUCGGACUUUUUUGUUUCUUAGCUAAAGUUGUAGGAGAUCUGCCUUUUUCUUCUCUUGAUCUCUUUGGUGCCAUUUUUCUCAGAACGCAUGUUUUGCUUUGAAUGUAAAGUGCAAAGAAUCGAGGAUGUUGAUUAUUUUGUGAACUAAACUGACUUUUUUCUCUAAGGUUCGUAUUUUCAAGUGGGUUGAUUCCAUGAUUUGAAAAAGAUAAGCUUUUUUUUUUAAAGUUUCGAUCUUUUGCCUUUCGAUGACCACCUCUUGAAGAAAGAAAAUGUUUUAGCUCAAGGUUUUUCAGAAUCGUGACUUAAAAUGUGAUUUUUGGAGUAAAAGAAUCGUGUUUUUAAAGUUUAAAGCUCAAACAUUUCAGCAUUUAAAGAGUGAAGAACUGACAUUUUGUAAAACUAGAAUAAAUUCUUUUUGCCCUAAUUCCUAAAAUUUUAUUAAUUUUUUUAAAUAUUUAGAAUUUUCGGAAUCAAUUCUUGAAAACGAAAGGUUGAUUCUUUAGUAUCAGAGGAAACAAAAUUGAGUUUUGUGCAGCAUGAGAAUCGAUUCUAUGAAACUGAAACGUUGAUUCUUGCACUUGACAAAUUUUGAAAAUUUUAUAGAAAAGUAGGUGUAAAAAGCGUUUUAAGAGAAGAAUUUAGUUCAAUCUAUGGCUUUCUUUGAGUUUGAAUGAUGCACAUAUAUGAGAUUAAAUGCAAAUGCAACAGUUUGCCAUACAAUACACCACAAUAAUCAAAAUAUCACAAUAUUAAAAAGAAAUAUUUAAAGUAUAUACAAUCAAAGAUAAAUAAUCAAACUUUCAAAAGAAUAGAAAAUCACUCAAGAGCAAGCAAUCAAUGUUCAUAUUUCAUACAUGAAUGAAUUUUAGAUUAGAAUCACUCGAUUUUGAGUUUGACCCUUAUAGGCUCGUUCCUCCUUGGCUUGGUUUUUCUAAAAGGCACAUUCUUACUUGAUUUUUGCUAUCCAAAUCUCGUUGGAUCCUUUUUUUAGAAUUUCUUAAGUUGAUUCCUUUUGGAACCUCAUUAGCCUCAAGAAUUCUACCAAAAGUAGGUUUGGUUCCUUUUUGGACCCAUGCCUUUUUGAUCACUUUUCCUUUAAAAAACACCUCUCUAAAUGGAUAAAAAUAUAUAGAGUGACCAACUUUAUGACAACAUGUGCAUAAAUGUGAUGAAUCGUGUUUUUCAUUCUCUUUUUAAGGAAAGUUUUUGUUUUUGUCUCUCUUUAUGUUUAACUAUACAUUAGGCCUUCCUUAUCAAAGAAAACCUUUUAAGCUUCAAGCAUCUCAUUCAGCUUUUGUGAACUCAUAUUCCAUUUAGAGAAUGAUUCAUCCAAAUGUUCAAUUUUCUUUUUUAAUACAUUUGCUUUAUUUUCUAAACAUUUGACUUUACCUUCUAGCUAUAUGUUGAUUUUAUCAAGAUAAUCAUGUUCAACCUUGAGUUUUGAAAUGAUCUUUUUAUCUUUCAAGGUCAUAUGCUCAAACUUAAAAGCCAAAUCAUCAUAUGCAUCUUGAAGUUCAUCAAAUGUGUAUGAAUCAUCAUUUAAAUCAUAAGAGCAUGAGACAACGCUAGAAAAAUGUACCUUAGAGUCGUCAAUUCCCAUUAAGCAUAUGUUUGCAAUUUCUUCUUUAUCCUUAUCUUGUGAUUCAUCAUUAUCACUCCACGCAGCCAUCGUGGCUUUCUUCUUGAAGUCUUAAGGAAUGCUUUUUUUUUAGAUUUGAACAUUCAUAUUUUGUAUGAUUGGGCUUCCCACACUCAUAGUAAAUUAUGAGGUCUUUCCAUGGUCAUCCUUUGGCAUGUCUUUUUUAAUGUUUCUCCUUUUUCCAUCUUUAUGAAUAGAUCUUCUAUCACCUUGUUUGUUUUUAAAAAAUCUAUUAAACUUUUAGUCAACAAGGCUUCCUCUUCAUUAUCUUCUUAUUCCUUAUCAUUAUUGUUAAAAUCAUUUUCUUUGACAGCUUUAAACGCAAUGCUUUCUUUUUGUAUCUCCUUUAAGUGCUUCAUCCUUUCUUCUACAUGUCUAAGGGUCAUCUCAUUGGUAAUAAGGGAUCUUGGGAGCUCAUCUAGUUUAAACGUGCUCAAGUCUUUAGCUUCUUCUAUGGUUGUUACCUUAGGUUUCCAUGAUCUCGAUAAACAAUGGAGGAUUUUCUUCACUAAUUGUGAACUAGGAAUUUCACUCCUUAAAGCUUUUAGUCCUCUUAUGACCUUUGUAAAUAUCUCAUACAUAUCCUUAAUGGACUCUCCAUCUUUCAUCUUAAAAAGCUCAUAAUCAAGAGUCAAGAUACUAAUUUUUGACGUUUUUACUUGACUUGUGCCUUCAUAGUAAUUUUCUAAUGUAUCCUAAAUCUCCUUUGUUGAAGUGUACAUUACCACCCUAUUAAACGCACUCUCACUAAGAGCACAUAUCGGUGUUGUCACAAUUUUUUUUGUUCAACUGUAUUAGCUUUUUAUCUUUGUCAUCCUAUUCAGCUCUUAUUUUUACAAAUCUCUCAUUAUCUAUAAACUUACUAAGAAUAUAAGGUUCUUCUUUGAUUGUAUCCCAUAAAUCUAAAUCAAUUGAUUGGAUAAAAUUUUCAAACCUCAUCUUUCAAAAAGGGUAGUUCUCGCUUAUGAACAUGGGUGGUCUCAUCAUGGACUGCCUUUCCCCGAUAAAGUUUAAAGAUGCCAUCUUUGUUACUUUAAGCUUUGCCUUAGGAUCUUUCAAAGGUUGUUAGACUUGCAAACUUGAGAACCUACUCUGAUAACAAUUGUUAGAUGAAAUAAGCAUAAAGUAAAGAAGUAAGAAGGAGGUGACUUGGUUACCAAAUAAAGAUUCCCCCAUUUUGAUUCAAAUCCAAUGCAAAAGCUUAAAAAGUAGGGUAAUAAAAAUAGAGUAUGAAAUAAGCAAAUAAAGUGUAAAAAUAAAGAGACUCAGCCACGAUUUUUUAGAGGUUUGACCUUUAGUGCCUAUGUAUUCUCACUUAAUAGCACAAGAAGUUUGUAUCUACUAUAAACUGCCUUUCAAGGAGCAAGCAUAAUUUUUACACAAACACUGUCUUUUCCAGAAGAGCAAGCAUAACCUUUACACUACCUUUUCGUGAAUAGCAAGCAUAACCUCUACACUGUCUUUUUAAGAAGAGCAAGCAUAACCUCUGCAUUGCCUUUUUCAAUAGGAACAAGCAUAACCUAUACAUUGCUUUUUCAAGAGAAAAAAGCAUAACCUCAUUACCUUUUGCUUAGAGGUAUAACCAGUACUACCUUUUCUAGUUGAGGUAUAACUUUUACUACCUUUACAAGGAGUUAUAACCUUCAGCACUACCUUCUCAUGAAGGUGUAACCUUCAGCACUACUUUUUCAAGGAGGUAUAACCAUUACAGUACCUUUUUCUUGGAGGUAUAACUAGAAACAACAGUGGAUUACAAAGAUUUUAGCUUUUGACCUCUAACAAGGCUGAUGAGCUAUUUAAGUGCAAAAAAAUGAAAACUUUCUGAGGUAUAUGAACUAAUGAAUGGAUCUCGUUGCUCAAAAAGUUUUAAAGGUGAGGAAAGGAAUGAUCUUUCCAAGUUUUUUGCUCACAUUCUAUCUAAAAAAAAGAUCUUGAAGCUUUUCUCUAAUUUCAACUCCUUUAUCUAAAAGAGGGUUUUUUCUCUUCUUUUCUGCUCAUCUUCUCUCUCUUUCUAGUGUCCUUAUUUGAGGCAUUUAUAGGCCUUGAGGAAAUUACCCAUAAGGGUAAAUUUGGAUUAAAUUUUGAACAUUAUAGGUUAGUUAGAUCUUUUCUAUCGUAUUAAAAAAAUCAAUUUUUCCAUAUCCAAUUUCAAUUGUUUCUUUAGUCUAGAGUUAGACAGAAUCGAUGCUUUAUCAUUGAAAUAUCAGUUCUUCAUUUCAUCCCCAAAAGUUGCACUUUUCUAUUCCAUAAAAAUUGAUUAUUCCUUCCCAAGGUGUCAAUUCUUUCCUAUAGUCUAGUGCCAAUUUGAAUUUCAAAUUUAAACUUUGCUACUCUAAUCUUAUUUAUAAGUCUUUUCUCUUUCUUGAUCUCCAAGUUUCUUGAAUUUUAUCCUUAGUGCUCUAGGAAUCGAUUCUUUUUUUCCAAAAUUCGUUUCUUUGAUCUUCAAAAUUAGUGUGUUGACUUUUUGGCUUUCUUUAUAUGUCUUUUCUCUUUUUGAUCUUCCAAGGUUCUGAAUUUGGUCUUUUGUGUUUUAAUAAUCGAUUCUUCUUUUCCAGAAAUUGGUUCUUUGAUCUUCAAAAUUAGCAUCUUGACUUCUUGGCUUGGAGUUGAUUUUGCCUUUAAUAGAGAUUUCUUCAUCAUGCUUGAACUUCUUUGUCAGCCUUUUGUAACUCUAGAAUUGAUUCUUCUUUUCUCAAGUGUCGAUUCUUCUUGUACAAAAUAAGAAAUUUUACUUUUCUGUUUGAUUUGAAUUGAUUCUUGGUUCUUGAAAGGUUGAUUCUUGAGGCUAGCAUUUUGAAUUUGAGUUUGGAAUAAAACACUUUUCUUUAUAAAACUAACUUCAAAAAUCUUGAGGAUCUCCUUCAAGUGUAGAAACAUUUUCCAUCAUUUACAAAAGCAUAUUUAACUCAAUCAAUUUUGUCAUUUCAAAACCAGGGUAAAGCUAACAUGUUCAAAGUUCAACUGCUAUGUUUCAAAUUCUUCAUAUAGACAUAUGGGGUCUUUAUGCUAUACCAACUUCCUCUGGUCAUCAUUAUUUCCUAACUUUGGUUGAUGAUUUUAGUCGUUUUACAUGGAUAUUAUUGAUGAGGAGCAAAUUUGAUGUUAAAUUCAUAAUCCAUUCAUUCUUCGAUUGUGUUAAAAAUUAGUUUCACACUUCUAUUAAACGGAUUCAUUUUGAUAAUGGCAAAGAGUUUGAACUUGCUAAUUUUUAUUCCUCAACAGGUAUCGUUCAUCAAUUAUCUUGUGUGGACAGACCAUAGGAA